AUACAUCAUUGUCUUAUACAAGUCUUCAUAGAAGAAACUAAAGAAACAUAAACUUUGUUUUCAAAUAUAUGAGGACAUGCUGAGUCUUGAGAGAGUAAACUUCCUUAGGUUUGCCUUCUAGACUUACACCUGCCUUCGACCUAUACUUAUCGAGUAUAGGAAAUUUAUGGAUUAGUACAAACAUUUUACUAAAUAUCGUAUCAUGAAAAAAUCAUGCAAAACAUGACAUUUUAGUUGAAAUAAAGCAUUAAUUAUAUUUAAGUUAAACCUUCAUGAAUAUAGUAGAAAACAACAUAUAAAUUAUCAUUUAGUACACAAGGUAAAACUUCCAUAAUUUUAGCACCAAAAUACACUUUACAGUGAACUACUUUUAUUUACUUCCAAUGAAGUACUUUCAUAUCAACGUAGAGUGAACUCAUUUUCCAUGAUGUUUCACCAUCAAAUGUAGUCCAAAGACUCUCUAAGGUAAGACAUGAAGAAACCACCCAUAAAAUCCCUUCAAUAAACACAUAAGCUAUCCACAAGACUAAAGGUGAUGAGCUUACUUCACAGGGUAAAAAGUCAACAUUCAACAUCAAGGACACUAGAAAACAUACUUUCAUUUUUGACUUCACAUAAAAACCCUUCUCCGAGACAACCCCCAAGUCAUAUAUACUGUAAUGUUAAAGUAGCAUGCCAUACAACUACCCCCAACAAGUUCUCCUUUAUGAUUUCCUUGGAUGAGGCUGUCAUGACCGUGGAAAACCCCCUAGAAGUAACAUGGCUUAUUUGACCUCUUGGAGGUCUUAUACAAGCCAAUAGUUAUCAUUCAUCGCAUUUUCAUAGAUAAAUAUAGCGGAAUAUUUAAACUUUUUAAUAGGUCAUCAUAUGCUAGAACAUCACUUCCAUUAUAUAUAAAAUAUCAUAAUACAUUGUCAAAGACUCUAAGUCACAUUGUUAUUUUAGAAUCAACAUCAUUAAAGCAUAAUAGGGACAAGACCCAUUAAACAUAAAUUCAUAAAAUAACUAUUACAAUACUUCAUAGAAACAUUACAUAUGAAAUCCUUGAACAUAAGUGUCCCUUUCUUUGAGCAUGGGGAUCACAUAUCAAGCUCUUAACCUUAGAGACAAUCUUUAAGAAUCCAUAACCAACACUUUAUGUAAAAGGUAAAUUAGAAUACUGUUAUUACAAGAAUGAACAAAGAAUGGCAACUAUGCAAAAAAUUCCAUUUGGAAUGGAUAUUUUCCUUUGAAAACCAUGCAUGAUGCCUUUUUGUAAAAACAUAAUAAAACAUGACACAAUAAGCAUUAUACAAUUUACAUACUUAAUUUAGGCAUGUUCAAUGGUAAAAACAUUACAUAAAACAAAAUAUUGCGUUUAAGGUAUAUUAAGCACCACUUUACAGUAAGCAUAUUUAAUUUACAGUGAACUUCUUUUCUUUAGCUCAUUAACCUCCCAAAUAAUCUUCUACUAAAACUUGAUGUAUAGAUUACCUUAUGGCCACAAGGUAAUCUAAAUAAAACCUUCCUAACUCAACAAAUGUGUUCAUGGAAGUAUAACGUAUGACAAGAAACUUUCAAAUCAAGACUCCCAAUGCCAUUACAAUGAACCAUAUUGAAUAUUCACAUAUGCUAACUUCAAUUUACAUAGACUCUUAUAAGAUAUUACUCAUAAUAACAAUAUAUGUCUACCAGUGUAAUGUACAUGUGAAUGCUCAUAGACUCACACAUGCUUAGUAACCCUAUCAUGAGACCACAAGCUUUGACAUGUAGUUUAUGCACCAACUAUGAUACUAUAGUCAACUACAUACAUACAAACUAGGACCUUUAUUAUAUAUUCAAUAAGACAAAAAUUAUGAAUAUAAUUUAAGAAGACAUCAUAUAGACUCAUUAGGACACAUACCAUUCUUAGUAUAAGAAAAAAUAGACAAGACUAUAAUUUAUUUCAUAAAGACAUAAACAAUUGCAUGUACAUUAUAACACCUUCCUAAAAUUCCCAUCAACAGCUACUUGUGUAAUGCAUAGGUAACUUCACAUACACUAAUCCACUUAUCUUAGGCUAUCCUAGUUAGGGUCCUUACUUUACUUCCGUUGUCCAUUUUACAUUAGGGAAACUAUAGCAUUAACUGACUCUAAAACCAUGGGUACUAGAUGGAAUUUUGUGAUGUAGAGCGUUACACCAAGGGAAGGUUCUCUAUGUAGAGAAAAAAGAACACUAACAAAUGCUACCAUAUUAGGUCAGAUACCUUGCUAGAUCCUAUGGCUCAAGAAUAGUUCAUAAAACUUGGAGGCAUAUGUGGAAACCCACUUUAUGAUUAUUGACACAUUCUCGUUAUCCAUCAGUAAGGAAAAUGGUGAACAAGCCUUCCCACAUUGGGAAGGGAAACCCCUCACCUAAGUUCACUCGAUGCUAAGCUAAGUUCCAUUUAUUGAAAAUCCAUUAUUAACAUUACUUUACAUUGUGUAGGCAUAGGAGAGUUAACCCCUCAUAUUCUUAGCUCAUAGGUCAUAGAUGCGAGUUCAUCAACCUAAAUCAUGUUAGAAGUCCUUUCACAUGGACAUAGCAUAUUCAAGAAUCAUCUAGCUUAGGGUAGACUUUAAAACACCUUUCAAGGUCCCUUUACUAACUAGAUCAUCAUACAUGCAUAAUGUAGAUGUUUUCAUUUAUGUGUGUAUACAUAUAUGUGAGCAAAACAUUGACAUAAACACCCUUACACCACAUAUGCUCAUACUUCAUUUCAUUCAUGCAUAGGAUUACACGUAUAACUAUAUGAGCAAUACUUUUGUAUAAUCAUAUUUAGACACUAUACAUAAUCAUAUACUUGACAUUAUAGCAUAUAAGACAUGUUCUUCCUUCUAUCAAAUAUUCUACUUUUUGCUGGAUAUUCGGGUUCAAAUACCCAUGGUUUCACUAUUUGUUAUACCCCAUGCAUUUAAAUUCAUGGUCUUAGAUCACACACCUGUAAACUAUCCUAUCAAAUCACAUAUGUGAAAUGCCUAGACAAAUUCCCAUACCGUUGUCCAUACUAGCACAACUAUCAAGUCAUCCUAGUUAAGGGACACAUAAUAUUCUUUCAUUAGACACCAUGAACUUAUAUUAUAUGGAAGCAUGCAUGAGGUUUGAGUGUAUGUGCAUUGGUAAACAUGAUCACAUAAUUUCCAUAAACUUCACAUUGAGGUACCCACCCUCUUAAAACCACAAUUCACAUAUAUGCAUUGACUACACUACAUAAUUUAGAAUUGGAGACAAGGUAAUAUCACAUUACAUUUAAGACUCAUAACCUUUGCUAAUCAUAAAUUCAUAUCAGGGUACAUAGGCAGUGGUCAUUAAUCAUCAUUUUUGGAAGAACCUAAACAUAAGCCUAACAUAGUCAUUAACAUGCUUAUUAUAUUAGCAGUAAACUUAGAUCAUAACUAUAGUACUAGACUAGGCAUGAUUAAAAUUUGGUGAUCAACACCUCCACACCUUCAUAAUACAAUUGUCUUUAAGGUCAUGAUCACAACAUAUAUACAUUGAAAAUAAGGUAAAUACCGCCACCAUAGUUGGAACAUGCCACUCAAUGCCAUACAAGGUCAAUUCUACACGAAAUACCAUAGAAACAUAGAGGAAUAGAAUCACCUUACCAAACCUCCCUUGUUUUGAUCAUCAACAAUCAAUACUUGUAAUGCCUCAACAAUUCAAUACAGAUAAGUAGCUAAAAUAUUUCAUUACCUAAAUAAAAUCAUGCUUCAAUUUCCAUUGAAUCAAGGUCAUAUCAAGUGCUCUACACUAAUAAUCAAUAGAAGAAAGAAGAACAUAGGUCAAUCUCAUUCAAAUCCUCAAAGUUUGAUACACAUGGAUCACUGAUAAAAAAUUCACCAUCAACAUAUAUAAUUGGAAGUAGAUAUAAGUAAUUAAAUAUACUAGAAUUACAAUUAAAUUAACACAUAAUCAAGAUCAUCAUGCACAUAACAUAGGCUGAUUUGAGAAUUGGAGGGAACAUGUGUUCAUCGUAAAAUUGAAUUGUAAUUAAUAUAAUUUUCAUUAAAUUAUCAUCAAUUCAUCAUGAACAUGAUUUUGAAAUCAACUUUAGAAAGAACCCAUGGCUAAAUUGAAAACUAGGAAGUUUGAUCUUGAACAUUCAUUAAAAAAACAUUGGAAAGAGCUCGUUAGAUGGAAUAUUAUCUAAAGAUAAAGGAUAACCAUACUUUAUUGUAGGAUAUAACCAAGAGAUAUUCAUGAAGAAUCCUUGGAAAUGAAAUCUCCCAACAGUUCUUGACCUUCAUCUCCAAUGUAGGUUUCUAGAGAGGUUUCUUUUUCGAAAGUCUAAUUUGAUGAAUUAAUUUGGGAAUGGGUGUUUGAUAUUAAUAACCGAAUACAUAUACCCAAUAAUAGAUAAAUAAAGUGCCUAGGUUCAGUUCAGGAUGUGGGGUGAAAUUCUCAUUCACCCAUUUAUAAAAAAGUGUGCCUGACAGCUUGUUGCUGGCUGCAUCAAUGCUGGAAACCUAAGCCACGUAGGACCAUCAACGGGUAGUAAUGCUAGCCUUAGUUUGGGUUUGAGGCUUGGUAUUGGUUGUAUUUACUCUUAUUAUAUGUUUAGGACGACUCCCAUGAAUCUAUGGGGCGUCAACGCACCUACUGGACGUCGUUUGCCAGUCGUAUGUAGACACUACGAAAGCAGUGUCUAGGCAGAAUUUGGGUUCUCCUUGAGGGUCUUUUGUGUGGACCUUAGGGAGUCGUACCCGUACGUUUCCAAUGUAAAUACAUUCAUUGUCAUUCAAAUGACUUACCAUACAAGUUUUAGCAUCAAAAAACACUCGCAACAAUUCAAAUUUUUUAGGCACACAAAAGUACGUCCAGUGGAUAACUUUCGAAAGUCUUCAAUGUUAUUGGACAUUUGAAUUCCAACCGUCUUAAAUAAAUCAUACAUAUUUUUAAAAAAUAAAUUUAAAAUUUUAACAAUCUUAUAUGACAUAUAUGAGGAUCUAUACACCUUAAUUCAUUUGGGAGGUCUUAUAAUAUCCCCCACUUGGGUACAUUCGUCCUCGAAUGACACCUGGAACACUUAAAACACAAAAGGGAAAUCAUUGACUCAUAGAGCAGCUCACAACAUUCAUAACAUCACCAAAUAGAAAUCGAUACAUAAAACUUACAAGGUACACAAACUUCAAACCAUUUAUCCCUUAACUCAACAUAAUCAAGCAACACACAUAGGCUCUUCUCAAGGUCAUAGGAGUGACACAUAGUCUUUUAUUAUGCUCAUAAGAGGAACAUCCUUCUCCUAAUCAUAACAUGGUCUUUGUAUUCCAGUUCAUUAAGAGCUUGUUAUGCAACAACAUUCAAGUCACACAUAGGCAGAUUCAAUAUCACUUAAGAAACAAUUAGGCACUCAUACUUCAUAGCAUAUACACAUGAGUCAAGUAAAUUAACAAUGGAUUGUUUUUAGUUAGGCAUACUGCCAUGAGGGUGAUGCUCAACAAUACCAUGCUUAGUUAUGUUUAGGGAGGAAUGUCGUCCUCCUCAACACACUUACAAGUCUCAUGAGUUCACACCCAAGAAACGCACAAAGGUCAAUUCAUUUAAAUAGUAAGUAUAAAUUUUUAACCAAAGAAUGCUCAUACUUCCUUCCUAGUGAAGUCAAAUGGUAAAUCACACUACACACAUUAAAACAAUAGGGAGUCAUUUAAAAUAGAUUCAAUUUCUAUCAUAACCCUAGCUUUCGUAAACAUGUAUCAUUUAGAGAAAAUCGUACAGUUUAUAGGUAAAUACAAACACAUGCUUUCAUUUUCAAAAGUGAGCCUACAUUCAUGAUUUCCAAACAACACAAAGUUAGAUAAUUUUUCAAAAGACUUAUAAUUUUUUUGUAUUUUAAAGAGACGAAAUUUAUCAGUGAUGGCUUAAGUACCGCAUGCUUAGGGUAACAUAUAACAUGUUUCUUACCUUAUUUCAUGGAUUCUAAUGCACAACUAGCACAUCAAGAUUUGUAAUUAAAAUGAGAACAUGAAUUUGAUCAAAAUCCUUAUUCAUGCAAUUUAGAAUUUUCAAAACAUGUUUAACACACUGUCAAAUAAAACAUACAUAACAUAUGAAGAACAUGAAAGUCAUGCUCCUAAGCAAGACUCCUAUCAUAAACAAGCUACUAGGAACUCUUUCGUUUGAAUAUCGAGCAAGAAUAGAAGGGAAAGAUAGAAAUAUCUACAACCUUACUACUCUCAUCACCAUCCCCCACUUAGAGUAAACCCAUUAAGAGCAACUUAACUCAACUAUCAUCAUUCCUCUAGGCCUAACACCCAAAGGAAAUCCAUAUUAAUCAAUUUAGGUCAUACUACCCCAUCACAUAAGGUAUCAAGUAUACCAUAAACACCAAGGGUCAUGAAACAUUUAGGGGAAAACAAUAAAAUAGACUUAUCCAUAAACCCUCUUUUUUCAUUCAAUAUAAAGGUAAGGUAACUUCUACGUUAAACAAACCUACAUCAUCACCCACCAGAUAAGCACACUACCUUUAUUACUAGGACCAAGUCCAUACAACAGACUCCGAUCCAUAUAAGGCAACUCUGAAGCAUCAAACAUAUACAAAAGAAACAAUGAUACAUUUUACAUAUAAAAAGCAACAUUUGAAGACUUACACCUAUAUCAAGGCAACAUGCAUUCUUCACUACACGAAAAAAAAAGGCAAUAAUGAAGGGGUAGUUUGUCCCUAAAAGUGAGAUUCUAGUCCUUAAACGUCCAUAGAAACUAUCAUAUCUGGUCUCCUCCCCAUUAUUAUAACCAUCAUCGCUAAUAGUCAUUACGGAUGGAAUGAACAAACUGUUCCUUAAAUUGUUCAUAAGACUUGUAUAAAACUGGUCCCCUAAGAUUGUUUUAGGGACUGCAUUUUUGUUUCCUAGUAGGAAAAAUGUAGUCCUAAAACACACUUUUAGGGACAACAUUUAAUUGUCCUUGCAUACAAGAUCCACCAGUUUAGUGGGAUUAUUAGGACUAGCUAAUUCCUAUUUUUGAAAUUGUAAUGAGAAAUUUAGUAGCAAGAAUCAAGUGCACAUACUAGGUACUACUUCACCAACCAAAAAAACUAUCAUCCUUUAUAAAAUAUUACAAAUGUAGAUGUGUUGUUGGUUUAUUUAGUAGAAAUUUUUUUCUCAGUUCCAACACCAGUUGUUCCCACGUCAAAAAACUGUCUCGGCAAACAAGAUAUUUUGAGUAAUUCAAGGUCUAUUUUAGGUAAGUCCCUGGAUAAGAGAGAUGAGCUUCUGGAAAACUAGGAAAAUAAUGGGAUUAUGAUAUUUUUUUCUAAUACAAUUAUAGUCACUAUAGUGUGUUGAUGAAAAAAACAAGUUUAAUACACCUGCAAUGAUCAAAGACAUAAAAUAUGGCCAAUGUGUGCUCAAUUUAAUUUUUAAAAAAAAGGAAACUAAUUUUCACAAUCAAGAUGAUACAUAUGCAUAUUUAUCCUAGAUACCUUAUACAAUAUGUAUAGGCUGAAUAAUGUUCAAUUUUAAUUGAGCUACCGUCAAGUGCUCACACAGAAAAGGCCAAUUUUCACAACACAAGGAGUAAUAUAUUUUAUACUAUGUUUUUACGGUGAUCUAACUCAAGAAUAUUGAACAAUUCCUCAAAAUAUGCAAGUUUUGACAACCUCAAUCAAAAAUAAUUUGAGUUCAAAUUACAUAAUCUUUUAUCAUAUUCACUACCUUAAAAUUAUUGAAUGUUGUGAAUUGAAUGAACACAUACUUUUAUAGAUAUAUAUAACUUACUAAAGAAAAAGAGGAAGCAUCAUAUUUUGAAUAUAUUCUGUAGUUUAAAGGAUGCAAGAGGUUUUAAUGCACUUGAGGAACUCUUGAAAGAAUCAGUAAGGAGGAUUAUUUGAUACCUCAUUGUAAUGAAAGUUUAAAUUUCAUAUAUGAUCUUCCACAUUAUAUAAGCAAGUUGUAGUUAUAGCUACUGAGAAUAUUAAAAAUAUCUCAAAGUAUACUUUAUGUUGUCUUUCAAUCUUAAAAGAGCAAAUAGUGAUUUUAAGUUAUUUCAAAAAACUCAAUAAUUUGCUCAAUGAAUACAAAAUCUAAUUAGUAAGGUAAAAAAUUUCAGAUGAACUCAUUGAAGAAGGUACAUGCCUCGAAUCUCUUUAAAAAUUCUGUAGAAAUUCCAAAAAUGCGAUAACUUUUCUAAAACAAUAGAAAAACCAAUAGUUAUAACCAUUAAAUUUCCAUAAAUAAGAAUAAAUGAUAAACAAAUAAUUUCUAAUAUGAACCCAUACUCUUUAAGAUGAACUUGUCUUGGUCUUAUGAAAUGAUAAAAUCAAGCAAGUUCUUAUGCCUUCAAGGAAACAAAACAGAUAGAAUUAAAAUUAUGAUUACAAAAUCAACAUAUCUUGUUAAAUAGACCAACAAUUACUUGAUUUAUUAAUCAAACGGACAUUUAAAGUUUACAUGACAAAUUAUAUUGCUAAAGUUACAUAUAUUUUACAAUUCAUAAAGCACUUUUCAAUGUCCAUAGAAUCAGAAUAGUGAACUCAUUCAAAUGGAAGUACUGCAUCAUUUGGAACGGGUCAUCUAUAAUAUAAGUCAUGUAGUAGAAUCAAGAUGCUACAAGAAUUAAUAGUUAAAAUAAUAGAUAAUAGAUUAAUUGAAACAAAGAUCAUUAUAGAAAUUUAAUCAUCUAGGAUUUCGUCAAUCCAUUUCUACCAGAGUGAAGAUGCAUCCAGCACUAAUGAAAGAAAAUAAAAUAUUAAACACUAUAGUUAACUGAAUCCUUUCAACAUUAACAGAAAAGAUGCAGCAAAAACAAAACACAUAUUUCAAUGAGGUAGUGAUAACAGAUUGUAGCUAUCACAUAACACCUUUAGUUAAAAAGCGUAGAAAACAACAACUGUUGAACCUUCAACUAAUAAAUUUAUACAUAAGAAGCAAUCAAGACAAAUUAAAAACCUCUUCUUUUGUUAAUGCUCGUAGAACCUAUUUUAAGCCAUUGAAACGCCUCAUUCUCAUCUCGUUGUGGAUGAUAAAGUUUAUAAAACACUCUUUUCUUAUUACAUCAUUGAUAUAUGUACUAAUAAUUUAAAUCUAAUUGUGGAAUCAUGUCAAUACCUAUUUAUAUUUUUUUGAUUUUUUUUCUAUAAACUUUUAGAAAGUUCUAGCUAUAUGGUUUGUUGAGCAAGUUGCAAUGCUUAAAGAGAAAAUUUAACAAUGAAAUACAAGAAUCUCAAAAUGUAUACAUAAAUUCAAGUAAUAUUUAAUAAACUAAAGAACUCAAGAUUACUCAUCAACAUUUUCUCAUGAAGUACUUUUGUUUUUUACAUCAACACACUCCAUAUAGUUAAAUUAUUAGUAUAAAAAAUUGUCUACUUAAUUUUUUUUUCAAAUAGUGAAUUACACAAAUAAACAUGUAUUUACCUGAUUAUAUAGGUGACAUAGUUUUCAACACCAUAAUUAUAAUCUAACGCUACGUAUUGUUUGAAUUCAACCAAUUUACCUCAUAGUGUCAUAUCUGCACCUUAACCUCACGUAUCCAAGCAAGUUUCCAGAAGACUAAUGGUCUUCUUCAGAGUAAAUACAUAGUUCAUAUGUAUGAUUUCAAUUUUUCUUAUAUCUAGUUUCCCUUUAGAUCAAUAUCAUAGUUCAUACGUAUGCUUUCGAUUUUUAUUAUAUCUACUUCACCUGUUAAAUAGUCUAAUGUUUUACUAUAUAAGGAAAAAUUUACAAAAUAAUUGUGCAAGACUAACAUGAACUAAUUUAUUAUUUUUAAUAUAUUAGAGAAUAGAAAGUUUGUUAUCUCAACUUUGAGUAGGGUCACUUACCAUAAAUAAUUAACAGUAAAUAGCUUCGUGCCCUAAUCCUCAUUCCUCUCAAAGCCCUUUUUAAUAUCAUACCCUAACCACUGUUCCUCAAACAAUGCCCAAUACUCCAAGUAAUAGUACUCAUCACAAAAAAAUCAAUAUUACAAAAAAUCAAUUUUGAAAAUUUCUUGUUUUAUAUAUAACAAGAAAAGACGAAGAAACUAGACAAACCUGUUAAAAUAAAUAUAUCUUUUCAGCCAAAGUGUGUAUCUUCAAGCACCUUACGUAGAUUUUGAUUGAGAUUCCACAUCUUGAGAGAGAAUAUGAAAGAGUCCAUUAUUUUGGAUUUACGAGCUUUCACAUAGAAAAAAAUGAUAGAGAGGAUACGAGUUUUAUUAAAAGUGGGUGGGGGUGUU
rnacentral:lncRNA from 1 species